GCAAGGAGCAGGAAGGAGCAGAAAGGGUCAGAAAUGAGCUGGAAGGGGCAGAAGGAGCACAAACAUAAAGUAGGAGAAUGAGCAGGAAGGGCCUGCAAGGAGCAGGAAGGAGCACAAAGGGACAGCAAGGAGCACAAAGGUAAAGGAGCAGAAAGAAUCAGAAGGAGCACAAAGGUAAAGUAGGAGAAAGAGCAGAAAGGGACAGCAAGGAGCACAAAGGUAAAGUAGAAAAGGAAGCAGAAAGGGUCUGCAAGGAGCAGAAAG